GGAAAGAACCAAAGCAACAUUUCUGAGAUGCUUUUGUCACAAUGUUUUUUAUUAAAACAAGCACUGCUAUUGUCUACCAACCCUGACACGUUGUUCCAAGGAAGAAGAAAACCCCUGCCUGCCACUCUUACUCUUUACCUGCAUGGGAGAUUAGCCUGAAGACUGAGGCUCUACAGAGCCGUGCACCAGACUCCUAGCUCUGUAGCGAUCACAGAAUUUUAAGAUUUUUAU